GUGUCAGCCGCCGCGGUAAUACGAAGGGGGCUAGCGUUACUCGGAAUGACUGGGCGUAAAGGGCGCGUAGGCGGUUUGGUUUGUUAGGCGUGAAAUUCCUGGGCUUAACCUGGGGUCUGCGUUUAAUACGGCCAGGCUUGAGUGUGAAAGAGGGUCGUGGAAUUCCCAGUGUAGAGGUGAAAUUCGUAGAUAUUGGGAAGAACACCGGUGGCGAAGGCGGCGACCUGGUUCAUUACUGACGCUGAGGCGCGAAAGCGUGGGGAGCAAACAGGAUUAGAUACCCUGGUAGUCCACGCCGUAAACGAUGUGUGCUGGAUGUUGGGCAACCUAGUUGCUCAGUGUCGUAGCUAACGCGAUAAGCACACCGCCUGGGGAGUACGGCCGCAAGGUUGAAACUUAAAUGAAUUGACGGGG
rnacentral:rRNA from 1 species